GCCGCUGUAGCUCAGCUGGUAGAGCGCCCGCCUUGUAAGCGGAUGGUCAGGGGUUCGAGUCCCCUCAGCGGCU
rnacentral:tRNA from 1 species